rnacentral:tRNA from 1 species
GCCAGGGUAGCUCAAUUGGUAGAGCGGCAGCCACCCACCUACGUGGUCUAGUCUGUGGAUCUCGGUUCAAGUCCGAGUCCUGGCC